rnacentral:rRNA from 1 species
UACGGGGGGGGCAAGCGUUGUUCGGAAUUACUGGGCGUAAAGGGCUCGUAGGCGGCCAACUAAGCCAGACGUGAAAUCCCUCGGCUUAACCGGGGAACUGCGUCUGAUACUGGAUGGCUUGAGAUUGGGAGAGGGAUGCGGAAUUCCAGGUGUAGCGGUGAAAUGCGUAGAUAUCUGGAGGAACACCGGUGGCGAAGGCGACAUCCUGGACCAACACUGACGCUGAGGAGCGAAAGCCAGGGGAGCAAACGGG